AGCGAAGACACAGCGCCAGCCCGUUGAAGGGCGGGAAGCCAAAAUAUUAAGCGCCCAUAUUUGUAGACAUCUGGAAGCCAAAUUUUGUCACUGACGAGUUGGUUUGCCAAUAUUAGACUUAAAUAUAUUAUUUUUUUACUUAAACUCUCUCAACUUUCUCCAAACCGACUCUCUCUCAUUGACCAAAAAAGACCAUCUCUUCUCUCUUUUUUUCUUUCAUUUUUGGGUUUUGCUCUGUGUCACUCACUCUCCCCUCCUCCCUCUUCCUCUCUGUCUUUUUUUUUCAUUGAAGAAGAAAUUGUUUUCUUCCUUAGAGCUAUUGGAGUUCAAGGAAUUGUUUGGUUAUGAUUUUCGUAUCUGCUGGUUCAGAUUGACAGGGAGAUCAAAUUUGUGGGUUUUCUUUGCUCUUUUCAGUUGGGGUCUUUAAAGAGGGCCCUUGUUCUGGUUUGUUAUUGGGCUGUCUAAAGAUGCAAAGAAGAUGGAAGGGUUCAGAAAGAGAUAGAUAAGUACAGAGACUUUCUGGUUAUUGAUGUCAAUGAAGAUUAUGUGAAAAUGUUUGGAAUUUUUCAGAGCAGAAUUUCAACUUUUUGAAGCAGAUUAUUAUGUCAAAGCAGAUGAUGACAUUUAUUUGCGUCCAUGUAUAUACAUUAUCGACUAGCAACACUUCUAGACAAGGAGAGAACACAUUCACAAACCUACAUUGGAUGCAUGAAGAAAGGACCCUAAAAGGAAAUGGUAUGAGAAAUCAGGACAUCUAAUUGGGAAUGAAUAUUUUCGAUAUGCUUAUGGUCCUAUAUAUGUUCUGUCAGCAGAGGUGGUAGCAUCAUUAGCAAUUGCUAGAAAUAACAAGGUCAACCACCUAUUUUGUAUAUGCUUUCUUUAUCUUAGUCCAUUGUUUCUUUCAAUUAUCUUCUAAAUGGCAAGCAGGGCAAUAUUUCUUUUUAUGCGACUCUUUGAUAAGACCAUAUUCUUAUGUUCUGGUCUGUGAUCUACAUAUCAAUGCGACAUGUAGGAAAGUUAUUGGUUGAGUUCGAGAAUAAAAGCACUUUAAAGCUCGGGAAGGAUGACCUUUCUUUUCUUGGAAUAGUCCAUACCCUUUCGCAUGACAUUUGUUGAGUCAUUUGGUGAAGGACUUGUGGUGAAACCACAUCAGGUGCCUUGGAUUCAGACAAAGGCAAGGUCAUUCAAGAGAUUGUGAGGACACAACUACGUUCACCUUGAGUCACAGUAUGUAGAGUUACAGGAAAGGUACAAAAGCUUUUGGUAUGGUGGCCGACUGUAUUUUGGACCCAAAUAAUGUAUGCAUACUUUUGUAGUGUACUGGUUGAAUAUUUAACAUGGCAUAGUUUUGAAUAGGUUGGGCAACUAUAGUUUUGAACUCUACUGAUGUAGGCAGACCUUUGUAAUAUUUGGCUAUUGUAAUUGACAUGAUACUUUAUAGUUUAUAAGAAUGGUUGUUAUAUGGUUCAAUCUUGGAGUA